UGGAAUUGUCGUGGGAUUGGCGACCCUGCGACAGUCCAUGAGCUCCGCGAUCUCGUGGAGGCUAGUGCGCCGUCGGUUCUUUGCAUUGUGGAGACUCAAUUAGCAAAAAAUCGAGUGGAAGGUUUGGCGGUCUCUUUAGGUUUUCAAAACAGCUUUGCAGUAGCUAGUACUGGUCGUAGUGGUGGUCUUUGUAUUUUUUGGAAGGCGGAUGUUAAUUUGGUAAUAAAGAAUUUCUCGCAGUAUCACAUAGACUCCUGGGUAUCUGAACUAGGGUCUGAGCAAUGGCGCCUCACAUGCUUUUAUGGAGAGGCAAACCAGAGCCUGAGGUACAAAACAUGGGAUACCAUGAAAAGGUUGAGGGGAGAAAGCACACUACCUUGGCUCUGCAUGGGCGAUUUCAAUGAGAUACUUCGCCAGGAGGAGCAGAUGGGCCCUAACCCGCGAGAUAGCGCUCAAAUGGAGGGGUUUAGGGAAGCGGUGGAUGUAUGUGAGCUGGCGGAUUUGGGCAUACUGGCUUAGACUGGACUUUCGAGAAACGUGUUACAGGAGGCCAGUUUUGUAGGGUCCGGUUGGACCGGGCUCUAG
rnacentral:rRNA from 1 species